rnacentral:rRNA from 1 species
GACGAACGCUGGCGGCGUGCUUAACACAUGCAAGUCGAACGGAAAGGCCCUGCUUUUGUGGGGUGCUCGAGUGGCGAACGGGUGAGUAACACGUGAGUAACCUGCCCUUGACUGUGGGAUAACUUCAGGAAACUGGGGCUAAUACCGGCUAGGAGCUCCUGCUGCUUGGUGGGGGUUGGAAAGUUUCGGCGGUUGGGGAUGGACUCGCGGCUUAUCAGCUUGUUGGUGUGGUAGUGGCUUACCAAGGCUUUGACGGGUAGCCGGCCUGAGAGGGUGACCGGCCACAUUGGGACUGAGAUACGGCCCAGACUCCUACGGGAGGCAGCAGUGGGGAAUAUUGCACAAUGGGCGGAAGCCUGAUGCAGCAACGCCGCGUGCGGGAUGACGGCCGUCGGGUUGUAAACCGCUUUCGCCUGUGACGAAGCGUGAGUGACGGUAAUGGGUAAAGAAGCACCGGCUAACUACGUG